ACGAACGCUGGCGGCACGCUUAACACAUGCAAGUCGAACGAGAGAAGAGAAGCUUGCUUUUCUGAUCUAGUGGCGGACGGGUGAGUAACACGUGAGCAAUCUGCCUUUCAGAGGGGGAUACCGAUUGGAAACGAUCGUUAAUACCGCAUAAUAUAAUUGAACCGCAUGAUUUGAUUAUCAAAGAUUUAUCGCUGAAAGAUGAGCUCGCGUCUGAUUAGCUAGUUGGUAAGGUAACGGCUUACCAAGGCGACGAUCAGUAGCCGGACUGAGAGGUUGAUCGGCCACAUUGGGACUGAGACACGGCCCAGACUCCUACGGGAGGCAGCAGUGGGGAAUAUUGCACAAUGGAGGAAACUCUGAUGCAGCGAUGCCGCGUGAGGGAAGAAGGUUUUAGGAUUGUAAACCUCUGUCUUCAGGGACGAAAAAUGACGGUACCUGAGGAGGAAGCUCCGGCUAACUACGUGCCAGCAGCCGCGGUAAUACGUAGGGAGCGAGCGUUGUCCGGAAUUACUGGGUGUAAAGGGAGCGUAGGCGGGAUCGCAAGUCAGAUGUGAAAACUAUGGGCUUAACCCAUAAACUGCAUUUGAAACUGUGGUUCUUGAGUGAAGUAGAGGUAAGCGGAAUUCCUAGUGUAGCGGUGAAAUGCGUAGAUAUUAGGAGGAACAUCAGUGGCGAAGGCGGCUUACUGGGCUUUAACUGACGCUGAGGCUCGAAAGCGUGGGGAGCAAACAGGAUUAGAUACCCUGGUAGUCCACGCCGUAAACGAUGAUUACUAGGUGUGGGGGGACUGACCCCUUCCGUGCCGCAGCAAACGCAAUAAGUAAUCCACCUGGGGAGUACGACCGCAAGGUUGAAACUCAAAGGAAUUGACGGGGGCCCGCACAAGCAGUGGAGUAUGUGGAUUAAUUCGAAGCAACGCGAAGAACCUUACCAGGUCUUGACAUCGUAUGCAUAGCUCAGAGAUGAGUAAAAGCUCGUCGGAGACAUAUAGACAGGUGGUGCAUGGUUGUCGUCAGCUCGUGUCGUGAGAUGUUGGGUUAAGUCCCGCAACGAGCGCAACCCUUACUGUUAGUUGCUACGCAAGAGCACUCUAGCAGGACUGCCGUUGACAAAACGGAGGAAGGUGGGGAUGACGUCAAAUCAUCAUGCCCCUUAUGACCUGGGCCUCACACGUACUACAAUGGCUGUCAACAGAGGGAAGCAAAGCCGCGAGGUGGAGCAAACCCCUAAAAGCAGUCUUAGUUCGGAUUGUAGGCUGCAACCCGCCUACAUGAAGUCGGAAUUGCUAGUAAUCGCAGAUCAGCAUGCUGCGGUGAAUACGUUCCCGGGCCUUGUACACACCGCCCGUCACGCCAUGGGAGUCGGUAACACCCGAAGCCUGUAGUCUAACCGCAAGGAGGACGCAGUCGAAGGUGGGAUUGAUGACUGGGGUG
rnacentral:rRNA from 1 species